rnacentral:rRNA from 1 species
GACGAACGCUGGCGGCGUGCCUAAUACAUGCAAGUAGAACGCUGAAGGAGGAGCUUGCUUCUCUGGAUGAGUUGCGAACGGGUGAGUAACGCGUAGGUAACCUGCCUGGUAGCGGGGGAUAACUCUUGGAAACGAUAGCUAAUACCGCAUAAUAGUAGAUGUUGCAUGACAUUUGCUUAAAAGGUGCAAUUGCAUCACUACCAGAUGGACCUGCGUUGUAUUAGCUAGUUGGUGAGGUAACGGCUCACCAAGGCAACGAUACAUAGCCGACCCGGGAGGGGGAUCGGCCACCCUGGGACUGAGACACGGCCCAGACCCCUACGGGAGGCAGCAGUAGGGAAUCUUCGGCAAUGGACGGAAGUCUGACCGAGCAACGCCGCGUGAGUGAAGAAGGGUUUCGGAUCGUAAAGCUCUGUUUUAAGGGAAGAACGAGUGUGGGAGUGGAAAGUUCACACUGUGACGGUAUCUUACCAGAAAGGGACGGCUAACUACGUG